rnacentral:rRNA from 1 species
UUAUGGCUCAGGAUGAACGCUGGCGGCGUGCCUAAUACAUGCAAGUCGAACGAGGUUGGUAGCAAUAUCAACCGAGUGGCGAACGGGUGAGUAACACGUAGGGAACCUGCCCUUAGUUGGGAUACCCAGAGGAAACUUUGGCUAAUACCGGAUAAGUUGUUCUGGAGGCAUCUCCGGAAUCUGAAAGGGGCCUUUAAAGCCUCGCUUAAGGAUGGACCUGCGGCGCAUUAGCUAGGUUGGUGAGAUAACAGCCCACCAAGGCGAGGAUGCGUAGCCGACCUGAGAGGGUGAACGGCCACACUGGAACUGAGACACGGUCCAGACUCCUACGGGAGGCAGCAGUAGGGAGUUUUCGGCAAUGGGGGAAACCCUGACCGAGCAACGCCGCGUGAGUGAUGAAGGUCCUUCGGAUUGUAAAGCUCUGUUAUAGGGGAAGAAUGAUAGAUUGAGGAAAUGCUAUCUAUUUGACGGUACCUUAUGAGAAAGCCACGGCUAACUACGUGCCAGCAGCGGC